rnacentral:rRNA from 1 species
AACGAACGCUGGCGGCAUGCCUAACACAUGCAAGUCGAACGAGACCUUCGGGUCUAGUGGCGCACGGGUGCGUAACGCGUGGGAACCUGCCUUUAGGUUCGGAAUAACUCAGAGAAAUUUGAGCUAAUACCGGAUGAUGUCUUCGGACCAAAGAUUUAUCGCCUUUAGAUGGGCCCGCGUUGGAUUAGCUAGUUGGUGGGGUAAAGGCCUACCAAGGCGACGAUCCAUAGCUGGUCUGAGAGGAUGAUCAGCCACACUGGGACUGAGACACGGCCCAGACUCCUACGGGAGGCAGCAGUGGGGAAUAUUGGACAAUGGGCGAAAGCCUGAUCCAGCAAUGCCGCGUGAGUGAUGAAGGCCUUAGGGUUGUAAAGCUCUUUUACCCGAGACGAUAAUGACAGUAUCGGGAGAAUAAGCUCCGGCUAACUCCGUG